UUGCUGACGAGUGGCGGACGGGUGAGUAAUACUUAGGGAUCUGCCCUUUGGCGGGGGAUAACCAUUGGAAACGAUGGCUAAUACCGCAUACGACCUACGGGUGAAAGGGGGCUACUUGUAGCUCUCGCCAAAGGAUGAACCUAAGCGAGAUUAGCUAGUUGGUGAGGUAAAGGCUCACCAAGGGGACGAUCUCUAGCUGUUCUGAGAGGAAGAUCAGCCACACUGGGACUGAGACACGGCCCAGACUCCUACGGGAGGCAGCAGUGGGGAAUAUUGCACAAUGGGGGGAACCCUGAUGCAGCCAUGCCGCGUGUGUGAAGAAGGCCUUAGGGUUGUAAAGCACUUUCAGUGAUGAGGAAGGCACAUUUGCUAAUACCAAAUGUGAUUGACGUUAGUCACAGAAGAAGCACCGGCUAACUCCGUGCCAGCAGCCGCGGUAAUACGGAGGGUGCGAGCGUUAAUCGGAAUUACUGGGCGUAAAGCGCACGCAGGCGGUUAUUUAAGCUAGAAGUGAAAGCCCUGCGCUCAACGUGGGAAGGCCUUUUAGAACUGGGUAACUAGAGUCUUGGAGAGGGGAGUGGAAUUUCUGGUGUAGCGGUGAAAUGCGUAGAUAUCAGAAGGAACAUCAGUGGCGAAGGCGACUCUCUGGCCAAAGACUGACGCUCAUGUGCGAAAGUGUGGGUAGCGAACAGGAUUAGAUACCCUGGUAGUCCACACCGUAAACGCUGUCUACUAGCUGUGUGUGAUUUUAAAUUGUGCGUAGCGAAGCAAACGCGAUAAGUAGACCGCCUGGGGAGUACGGCCGCAAGGUUAAAACUCAAAUGAAUUGACGGGGCCCGCACAAGCGGUGGAGCAUGUGGUUUAAUUCGAUGCAACGCGAAGAACCUUACCUACUCUUGACAUACCAG
rnacentral:rRNA from 1 species